rnacentral:lncRNA from 1 species
AGCACUGCUGAUGCUGGAGGCUGCCUAUAAAUUGCUGUGGCCGCUUCCAUGGGCAAAGCUUGGAGACUGGCUCCUGGGGACACCCGAGGAGGAGGAGGAGUUGGAAUUGUGACCACCUUUCCCAGAAACAUCCUUUUUCUCUGCCAUGGAGCUCUCCCAGAGGAAGCGGAGACUAAACCCGAGAUCUUCUAGGAACCUCUUUCGCCUCACAGCCCCGUACAGGGGCCAUUUGCACAGAGGCUCCUCAAAGUCCCCGCCUCGUCGCUCGUCCUAGGCCCUAGCGUUCCUCAACAAAGCCCGGCCUCCGAGUCAACGAGCACCCUCAAGAGAGGGACGGAGAACCACCCAGGUCCCAUCUGCUUAAGUUUCUGUGGUGGAGCUUGAAAAGUAAAUCGGAAACAGCCAUAAUAA